AUAUUUUAAAGUUUUACUUCCUUAAUAUUUUCAAUAUUAUACUCUAUUAUAAGCUAUUAAAAUA
rnacentral:tRNA from 1 species